UGACAGCCCAGAAGAGUUGGGGACAAAGCGCAUCUGCAGGAUCAUCACGAAGGAUUUCCCCCAGUAUUUUGCCGUGGUUUCCCGGAUUAAGCAGGAAAGCAACCAGAUCGGUCCUGAGGGUGGGAUUCUGAGCAGCACCACCGUGCCCCUGGUCCAGGCAUCUUUCCCAGAGGGUGCCUUAACCAAAAGGAUCCGAGUGGGUCUCCAGGCUCAGCCUGUUCCAGAGGAGAUUGUGAAAAAGAUUCUUGGAAACAAAGCAACAUUUAGCCCAAUUGUCACUGUGGAACCAAGGAGAAGGAAAUUCCAUAAGCCAAUCACCAUGACCAUUCCGGUGCCCCCACCCUCAGGAGAAGGCGUGUCCAAUGGGUACAAGGGGGACAACACACCCAACCUUCGUCUCCUCUGUAGCAUAACAGGGGGCACCUCGCCGGCUCAAUGGGAAGACAUCACAGGAACCACCCCUCUGACCUUCAUAAAGGAGUGUGUGUCUUUCACAACCAAUGUUUCAGCCAGGUAUGGACGUGAAAGUUCCAGAAGCAUCAC